rnacentral:misc_RNA from 1 species
AGCAGCCGCGGUAAUUCCAGCUCCAAUAGCGUAUAUUAAAGUUGUUGCAGUUAAAAAGCUCGUAGUUGAAUUUCGGGGUUAGCAGGUCGGUCGUGCCAUCGGUAUGAACUGGUCUCGCUGAUCCCUCCCUCUUGACGAACUGUGAUGCCAUUAAUUUGGUGUCGCAGGGAAUCAGGACUGUUACUUUGAAAAAUUAGAGUGUUUAAAGCAGGCUCACGCUUGAAUACAUUAGCAUGGAAUAAUGAAAUAGGACGUUUGAUCCUAUUUUGUUGGUUUCUAGGAUUGACGUAAUGAUUAAUAGGGAUAGUUGGGGGCAUUAGUAUUCAAUUGUCAGAGGUGAAAUUCUUGGAUUUAUUGAAGACUAACUACUGCGAAAGCAUUUGCCAAGGAUGUUUUCAUUAAUCAAGAACGAAAGUUAGGGGAUCGAAGACGAUCAGAUACCGUCGUAGUCUUAACCAUAAACUAUGCCGACUAGGGAUCGGAUGAUGUUAAUUUUUAAUGACUCUA